GGUAGUAGCAAAUAUUCAAAUGAGAACUUAGAAGGCCAAAGAGGGGAAAGGUUCCAUGUGAACGGCACUUGCACAAGGGUUAGUCGAUCCUAAGAGUCGGGGGAAACCCGUCUGAUAGCGCUUAUGCGCGAACUUCGAAAGGGGAUCUGGAUAAAAUUCCAGAACUGGGACGUGGCGGUUGAUGGCAACGUUAGGAAGUCCGGAGACGUCGACGGGAAUUUUGGAAAGAGUUAUCUUUUCUGUUUAACAGCCUGCCCACCCUGGAAAAGGCUCAGCCGGAGGUAGGGUCCAGUGGCUGGAAGAGCACCGCAUGUUGCGUGGUGUCCGCUGCAUUCCCGGCAGCCCUUGAAAAUCCAAAGGACCGAGUGCCGCUCACGCCCGUUCGUACUCAUAACCGCAUCAGGUCUCCAAGGUGAAGAGCCUCUCGUC
rnacentral:ncRNA from 2 species